rnacentral:rRNA from 1 species
UACGUAGGGUGCGAGCGUUGUCCGGAAUUAUUGGGCGUAAAGGGCUCGUAGGCGGUUUGUCGCGUCUGCUGUGAAAACUGGAGGCUCAACCUCCAGCCUGCAGUGGGUACGGGCAGACUAGAGUGCGGUAGGGGAGAUUGGAAUUCCUGGUGUAGCGGUGAAAUGCGCAGAUAUCAGGAGGAACACCGGUGGCGAAGGCGGGUCUCUGGGCCGAUACUGACGCUGAGGAGCGAAAGCGUGGGGAGCGAACAGG